GACGAACGCUGGCGGCGUGCCUAAUACAUGCAAGUUGAGCGCUGAAGGUUGGUACUUGUACCAACUGGAUGAGCAGCGAACGGGUGAGUAACGCGUGGGGAAUCUGCCUUUGAGCGGGGGACAACAUUUGGAAACGAAUGCUAAUACCGCAUAAAAACUUUAAACACAAGUUUUAAGUUUGAAAGAUGCAAUUGCAUCACUCAAGGAUGAUCCCGCGUUGUAUUAGCUAGUUGGUGAGGUAAAGGCUCACCAAGGCGAUGAUACAUAGCCGACCUGAGAGGGUGAUCGGCCACAUUGGGACUGAGACACGGCCCAAACUCCUACGGGAGGCAGCAGUAGGGAAUCUUCGGCAAUGGACGAAAGUCUGACCGAGCAACGCCGCGUGAGUGAAGAAGGUUUUCGGAUCGUAAAACUCUGUUGGUAGAGAAGAACGUUGGUGAGAGUGGAAAGCUCGUCAAGUGACGGUAACUACCCAGAAAGGGACGGCUAACUACGUG
rnacentral:rRNA from 1 species